rnacentral:rRNA from 1 species
AGUGAACGCUGGCGGCGUGCCUAAUACAUGCACGUCGCAGGAAGUGGCGCCCGGGUGAGUAAUAUAUAGCUAAUCUGCCCCUUGCUGGAGGACAACAGUUAGAAAUGACUGCUAAUACUCCAUAGCAAGGGCUUAUACUAUAUCGUAUCAGCUCGUCGGGAGGGUAACGGCCUACCGAGGCUAUGAAGCGUAACUGGUCUGAGAGGAUGCUCAGUCACAUUGGAACUGAGACACGUACCAAACUCCGACGGGAGGCAGCAGUAGGGAAUAUUGCGCAAUGGGGGAAACCCUGACGCAGCAACGCCGCGUGGAGGAUGACACUUGUCGGAGCGUAAACUCCUUGUGUUAGGGAAGCGGUACCUAACGAAUAAGCACCGGCUAACUCCGUGCCAGCAGCCGCGGUAAUAC